rnacentral:rRNA from 1 species
CCACGCUGUAAACGAUGUUCACUCGCUGUUUGCGAUACACAGUAAGCGGCUGAGCGAAAGCAUUAAGUGAACCACCUGGGGAGUACGAUCGCAAGGUUGAAACUCAAAGGAAUUGACGGGGGCCCGCACAAGCGGAGGAACAUGUGGUUUAAUUCGAUGAUACGCGAGGAACCUUACCUGGGCUUAAAUGUAUACUGCAUGGGGUGGAAACACUCCUUCCCUUCGGGGCUGUUUACAAGGUGCUGCAUGGUUGUCGUCAGCUCGUGCCGUGAGGUGUCGGGUUAAGUCCCAUAACGAGCGCAACCCUUACCGUUAGUUGCCAUCAGGUCAUGCUGGGGACUCUAGCGGGACUGCCACCGUAAGGUGAGAGGAAGGUGGGGAUGGCGUCAAAUUAGCACGGCCCUUAUGUCCAGGGCUACACACGUGUUACAAUGGCCGGUACAAAGGGCAGCUACACAGCGAUGUGAUGCUAAUCUCUAAAGCCGGUCCCAGUUCGGAUUGGAGUCUGCAACCCGACUCCAUGAAGUUGGAUUCGCUAGUAAUCGCGCAUCAGCCAUGGCGCGGUGAAUACGUUCCCGGGCCUUGUACACACCGCCCGUCAAACCAUGGGAGCUGGGGGUGCCUGAAGUCUGUGACCGAAA